ACUUUUUUACCGAACAAAACUGUCGAACGGACGGCCACCCAGAAGAGAAGUGUGCUGCUGGUUAACCUAUUGAUCCCAAUUAGAACGUUGCGGUUAACCACAGACACUUCUCAAUUAAAACCGAAUACAGGGUGGUCGUCGUUCGUAUGUCGACCACGAGGCGGCGGCCAUUUUAAACCAUGCGAAAGACCAAGGAACUGUAAUAGACUUUGACUCCAUGGCGAUUGAACUAUGCGUAUGGGAUCUGAGCGCUAUUCGCCAAUAAUAUGCACUCAGAUCCAGGCUAUCUGGGGAUGUGUUACACGAAUGAGAAAUGUUCGGCAGUUAUAAAGUUAUAUAUUUUUAUGUGUUUUAUGAUUUGUAUUUAAAAUGGCAAUUUGCCUCUGCUCUGGGAGAUAAUUGAAUUACUUCUCAAUUAUCUCCCGGGCAGAGGGGAGGAAACUGUGAUGUAUGCUGGGAAUAUUGUGUGACUGUAUGUCCUGAAAUGCCAUAUGUCC